rnacentral:piRNA from 1 species
CUGCAGCGGAGAUGUACGGUUCCUCAUU